rnacentral:rRNA from 1 species
AGUUCCGCCCCUGGCACUAAUGCUCCAGAUCUUAUUAGAACUACAUAAUUAAGCAUGCUUGGACGAGAGUUGUACUAAGAUGGGUGACCUCUUGGGAUGUCUUUGUGGUACACCUC